GCGCUCGCUUCGGCAGCACGUAUACUAAAAUUGGAACAAUAUAGAGAAGAUUAGCAUGGCCCCUGUGCAAGGAUGACACGUAAAUUCAUGAAGCGUUCCAUAUUUUU
rnacentral:snRNA from 1 species